rnacentral:SRP_RNA from 1 species
GCCGGACGCAGUGGCACCUGCCUGUAGUCCCAGCUACUCGGGAGGCUGAGGUGGGAGGAUCGCUUGAGCCCAGGAGUUCUGGGCUGCAGUGCGCUAUGUGGAUCAGGUGUCCACACUAAAUUCGGCAUCAAUUUGGUGACCUCCUGGGAGCAGGGCACCACCAGGAUCCCUAAGGAGGGGUGAACCGGCCCAGGUCAGAAAUGGAGCAGGUCGAAACUCCCAUGUUGAUCAGUAGUGGAUCGCGCCUGUGAACAGCCACUGCACUCCAGCCUGGGCAACAUAGCGAGACCCCAUCUCU